GCUCAGCAGAUAGACCAAAGGCCUCCUGUGUCCACCACAGCAGACCCUCCAGGCAGCCAUCCUUGUCUGGGUGAGAGACAGGGAUGGGCAGCCUGAGGUGUGGACUGGCCCCUCAGCUGCUGACAGUGGUGCUCUGGGAGUCCCUGGAGCCUGAAGCCAGCCCCGCUGGCCCCCAGCCUGUGACCCCCAGCGCCACCCUGCCCAGUCUCUUCGUCAUGUUUUGUGCUGCUGUUGCCCUGGGAACUUUCCAUUGGAAAAUGUUGGGCGAGGUGGGCAGGCAGACAGGCCAGGGCAGGCUGCAGACACGCUGUGGGUGGAUGGGUGGUGGACGCCUCUCCCAGGAGGGCUUGUCGGUCCCACACCCUAGGACGGCCCACCCUGUCCUGCCCACUCCUGUUCUCAGCCCCCACCCCAGGCCUGGGGAGUGCUGUAUGUGUGGGUCCCCACAGAGAGGCCCAGUGGGAUGAAGGAUGUGUUCCAGCACAGGCCUGCCCACUCCUGGCCCCCAGAUCUCAUUCCGGAGUGUCCACCCAGCUGCCAGUUGUCCACAUGGAGGCAGGAAGUUCCCAGGACCAGCAGCCCUGCUGGGCCUCAGCGUCUUUGCUCAGGAGCUCCUGCACCGCGGCAGGUAGAUGGGUAAGUGACCAGGAGGAAGAGCCCCGGCCCCAGGCUGCCCACAUACAGAAGCUGCUAGAGCCCACAGCUUGUGACUGGGGCCUUCACAGGCCACCAAUCCCUGGGAACUCCUCCAUGUUUUCCCCUCGCACUGACACCCGGGACACCAGGUCCACAGCCCCACAUGACCCAGCACCCUCCACAUGGCCCUGACGUACCUGGGCAAGGGGCUGUGUGCACUGCCCACGGAUGCCUGGGGCAACUGGCUGCCUGCCAGGGGAGGUGCAGACGGGGCUGAGGGGGUGUAGCCAGAGGAGCACAGGUGGUACCAGGUCUGCAGACGGGCCCAAGCCCACUCCUGUCAGAGCAGGUCUCACAGGCAGACAGGCCAUGGCAAGCCUGACCGCGGCUGGGGUCAGCUGGCCAGAGCCAGGGUGGACGGGAUGGGCCAGCAGGUCACACUGACGUGGUGUUGGAGGCAGCGGUGAUUGCUGAGGUGGCCUGACAGGACAGGAGCCUGGGGCUGGGCCGAGGGGCACAGCUCCCUCGUGAGGGUUGUCUCAGGAUCUCUGAGCCCCUGGGAGGAAGGGCCGGCUCAGGAGGUCCCCGGAGAGCUGGCUCAGGCACAGGCAUUCACUGGCAGGGGAUGGACCUCAAGGGAAAGUGGCUUUUCUUUGAAAGAUACCAAGAUUUAAUAGGAAGGAAAAACAAGGGAGCAGUGAGCUCCCUCACUUAGCAGCACAGGCAUCUUCGUGGUAGAAAAGCCCAGAGUUUGGGGACCUGAGUCCAAGGGACCUGCACCUGUCACCGGCGGUGGAGGCUCCUGAUCCCCUCCCUGAGCAGGGAAUGGGGUGCAGCCGGAGGCACAGGUAACCAGAAAUCCGACUCAACCUGGGUUGGAAAAUACAAGCAAAGCGGCAGCUCCUGACGGGCAGUGUUGGAGCCGGGGGAGGCCAGGGGGCACGCCAGGGCCUGGGGCUGGGCUCAGCUCUAGAGAGCUGGGUGCCUGGGGACCCGCAGGCCCAGGUGCUGCCAGGCGCCCGCUAGCCUCUUUCAGAAGUUCUAGAGAAACCACACUGGCUCUCAGUGGCUCUGGUCAUGUCACCCGCUCUUAUGGGUAGAAUUCCAUUCCCUCAAAGCUACGUCCAAGUCCUAAUCCAACAGCAUGUUCCAGGCCCUGGGCUUGACAUCACAACGCGCGCUCACACACACACACACACACACACACACACACACAGCCCUAAUUCCAAGACCUUAUUUGGAAAUGGGGGGUUUUUGCAGAUGUCAUCAAGUUAGGAUGAGGUCAUUAGGGUGGCCCUAAUUCAAUGUAACUAGCACUGAGAGCAUACCACGUGAAGCAGACAUAGGGAGCAGUGUGUGACCCAGGGGCAGAGGCUGGAGGGCUGUAGCUGUGGCUGGGCUUUGACAGCUGCUACCAAAGGAUAGCUGGAGGAGAGAAGGGUCCUACCUGGAGUCAGAGGUUGGGGGACACUCCCCAUCCAUGCCUCCCAGUCAGACUCUGGCCCCCAGAGCUAAGAGAGGACACAUCUCCCUCGUACUGAGCCCAGCAGGGGCUGCACACCAGGAGCCAGCCAGGGCACAGGUACUUGCCCUCCUGUGGCCUGGUUCACUGCCAGGCUCCUCCCUGGGGCCAGGGUGGUGCCAACAGCACCCGAUGCACAUGGUUCCCAGAGAGGGCCAAACAAAGUAGGUAGCCGGGGUCUCAGAUGGUCCAGAGCUCGCCCUUCCUGGCAGGGCCUAGGACCAGCAGGUGUGCUGGCCAAGAGGAAGAAGACAAGAGUCCAGGGUGGAGCAGGUGCCAUUGUGGUUGCCACGUUUAUACCAUCCACAGCAGGGGAAGGUGGCUCUCCUGACCAACCCUCCCCUUGAGAGUCUCUUAUACUUUUUUUCCUAGUACUGAGGUCACCUCAGUGUCUAACCACUGAACUAUACCCCAGACCUUUUUGGAAUUUUGAGACAGAGUCUCACUAAAGUUGCCCAGUCUGACCUUGAACUUUUUGUCCUCCUGCCUCCCAAGUCUCUGGCACCACCAAGAAAUUGUGGCAGUCACAAUCCUGAAAGUCAGCUGAGGUGUGAACCUAGUAGAGCAGCAAGAGGCCCUGGGAGCAUUGCUGCAGCCCAGGGCCAGCCCUCCUUCGCCCUGGCCCCAGGUGCAUCUGGACACCUGCUCAGGAAAACACUGCUGGGCCUUGGAGCACAGAUGAAGGUUCUGAAAAUGGAGCUUCCCCUGGGGCAGCCAGUAAUUGGUGACUGAUGAGUCCUGCAGGGUUGCUUCAAGGUGACCUUCCCCGCGGCCUUCCAUACCCCUUCUAUACUCUCUUCUGAUUUCACUUCUUAAUUGCUUUUACCCAAACCCUUGCUUUGGCGUCUACUUCUGGGGAGUCCUGCCCAAGGCCCACGUCUCCCCAGGCGGGCCACUCAGGGAGCACCAGCUGUGCAGAACUGGCUCACCACCUCGUUGGCAGCACCUGGACGGCAGCAGACCUCCCUGCUACAGAAACUCCACCCAGACAGAGCCAGCACACAGGAGGCACACGAUUAAUGCUGAAUUAAUCAAUGAAUCCAAUCCAGGUGAAAUGGACAAAAUGACCUGAGCAGCUUCAAGUGGGGAUGCUGAGCAUCACACCUCCCGGAGCAGGGCCUGCCUCUGGACGCUUGGCCUGGACUCUGCUUCCCAGGGGUUCUCAGCUCCCCUAUCCCUGGCUUUCCCCCAAGCCCAGUCCAGGACCCUAACUCUGGAGGCUGUGGUCCAGGAUGGGUAAGCAUGAGGCUGACCAUGGCCAUGGCUGCAUGGAGGUCCACCCCGCCCCGCCCCUGUCGGCAGCUCUGCCUCCUGCCUCUCACCUUUGGGACCCCUGGGACCGCACCUUCCCUGGACUGCUCCCCCAGCCCCUGGCGGUCCAGCAGCCUCCCACGCUGCUUCCAACAAACCAUCUUCAGCUGGAGUUUCCGUUUCUUAUAACCAGAGUCCCAGUGAGCACCCCAGAGGGAAGCAGCCAGCCCUGCCAUGUGGGGCCCUCUGGGAGACGCUGGCUGGGGUAGGUGAAGGCAGCUUGGAGGGGACCACCUGCUGCUCAGGACCAGGGAGGAGUGAGCACUCAGCACCAGGAGGUCAAGGGACCUCCCUUUUUUUGAGUCGGAAACUAUUUAAGAAACAAGAUGCAGACAUCGGUGAGGUGCCCCUAGAGGUAUCAGCUUCCUUUAUGCUAAACUGAGGCUCCUGACGCUGCCCCAGCCACUGGCUCCGUGGAGGUGGAACUUCAGCAGGACCCCACCCCACCCGGUUCCAAGGCAUCCAGCAGGCUGAGUCCUGUGGGCCUGGUUUCAUCCCCAACCCACCAACAGACAGCCUGUCCCCCACAAGGCGGGCAGACAGGCAGAAGCCCCUCCCGGGAGUGAGUGACAGUUUUCCCACUUUCCCACACAGAGUACCCAGCCUCGACGUCUGAAGGCUGAGCUCCAGCGUCUGCAAUGAGCCCCAGGAAGACAUGAGGAAUCUGAGGAUCAGAGCUGGAGGCUGCUACUGACCUUGCCAGAUAGACCCUAGCCAGGGAGCGAGCUCGGAGCCAGACCAGAGGAGUCCGAGGCGCUUCCACACCAGGGGAUCUGAUGCGUCUUCAAAUGAAUUUGCACAAACUUGCCUGGCAGGAGGGUGGGCUCCAGGCUGGACAAGCAAGGCCGAGCACAGUUUCAUGGCUGAUCCUGCCAGUGUGCACCCGUGAACUGGGGAUUCUGGACUCAGGUAUACCCUCCCACAACUGGAGAAGAGCAGUGUGGACCUCCCUGGCCCCUCUGAGGCUGGCUCAAAGGCAGACCAACUGGGAGGGAGCUCAUGGUGGGGUCCGGAGAAUUCUGUACGGUCUAGGACUGAAACCCCUGGCCAGGAGCCCUGCAGGAAGAGGCCAGUUCCCAGGGCAGCCCUGCUCCAGAGCCCCAUGCAGCCUCCUCUGCAGGUCCGUCAGGGCACAGCUUGCCUGGGCACUGGGCUUUAUCAGGCUCAUUGUUGGUUUCUCCUAAGAAAGAUGGGGCACUCAGAAGUGGCCAGAGCUGGCUGGCCUUGGUAAGAAUCUCCAUGCUUGAGUCCAAGCGGGGCCUCAGUCCUAGCCACCAGAGCCACCUGCUUGGUGACCUUAUGGAGCAGCCCUGGGUGACACCUGACAUGCAAAGUUGUCACUGUCCCAACCUCAGAGCCUCCUCACACCCAUGGGUAUUCCCACCCUCUUCAUCCCCGUGCCCUGCCAGGCCCCCUGUGUACCUAUUCUGUGCUCUCUGAGUCUCUGGCCACCACAAGCACUAGCUGUGGCCUGUGAUCCUUCCUCAGGGACUAUGAGUGGCCAGGCACAUGGCUUCAAAUGCUGCCAGCUGGCGCAUCUCCCUGCCAUCCCUGGUGGGACUACGGGGCUGUCCUCCCAGCUGGGUCCAAUGCACUGGGCAAAGCCAUUGGCAGCUUGAGGACCCAUCUCUGUCACCUGGCAGUGGGUGUGAGCCUCAGGCUCCAGGAGGGCUGUACAGCUGGCAGGAGGCAGGUGCAGGGACACAGGAAGCAACACCUGACUCUGCAGACAGCCAGCUCCUCAGGACACACUGGUGCUGGGCUGCUUUCCUGUACCCAGAGUGCUGCUGCCCUGCCCAGUUUUAUGGUAGCUCCCUGUUUAUCAUGGGCAACUGGGACACCUGUCUCUGCUUACUGGCCACAUGGCUCAUCUCCACCAGGGCUAAGGAGCAGGCCUCAGGCUGCUUCUCAGAGGACUGGUCACUUGCAGGAGAGGGUGUGCUGGGAUUCUCUGACAGGUGUGUGUCCAGGACACAGGAGCGCCCCCAGAGCAGCCAGGCCAGGCAGAGCUGCUCAGAAGACCCAAUCUAAGGGCCCUCCAAGCCACCACCAUACUCACCUCCCAGGCCUGUGUAGUGUCCCCUCCAGUGAAUCCACAUGUGGGGAGCCACACUGAGGUACCACACCUUCCGUCCUGAUGCACCAGAGAUCUGAAAGAUCACUGUAGUCUAGCGUGGUCGUGCCAUGACUCGUGCCUCGGUCUUUUGCCCACCCUUGGAUAGCAAGGCCAGUCUUCUGAGUGGGCAACCCCUGGGGUUGAACCACACUCACCUGUUCCUUUGUAAUCCUACCCCUUUGCCCUGUUUGGGAUAGAAUGUUCCAUGGAAACGCUCUGUGUGUCCCCUUCUCUUGGUCUGCCUUUGGGUGUGGCCUUCCUAGAUGUCAGUCACCAGCUGACAGCAGACAUCAGGAAGCUGGACUAAACCCCUGACGCCUGACCCCUUGCCUCGUUUGAAACGGCUUCUCCCCAAUAAAAGGGUUUAGCACGGGCUCCUCACUCUCUUUCCUCAACCCCUAAGGUCAGAGGAGCCAUCACAGGACCCAAAG